rnacentral:rRNA from 1 species
CCUACGGGUGGCAGCAGUGGGGAAUAUUGCACAAUGGGGGAAACCCUGAUGCAGCGACGCCGCGUGAGUGAAGAAGUAUUUCGGUAUGUAAAGCUCUAUCAGCAGGGAAGAAAAUGACUGUACCUGACUAAGAAGCCCCGGCUAACUACGUGCCAGCAGCCGCGGUAAUACGUAGGGGGCAAGCGUUAUCCGGAUUUACUGGGUGUAAAGGGAGCGUAGACGGCGGAACAAGUCAGAAGUGAAAACCCGGGGCUCAACCCUGGGAGUGCUUUUGAAACUGUGUGGCUAGAGUGCAGGAGAGGUAAGCGGAAUUCCUAGUGUAGCGGUGAAAUGCGUAGAGAUUAGGAGGAAGACCAGUGGCGAAGGCGGCUUACUGGACUGUAACUGACGUUGAGGCUCGAAAGCGUGGGGAGCAAACAGGAUUAGAUACCCUAGUAGUC